rnacentral:rRNA from 1 species
AACGAACGCUGGCGGCAUGCCUAACACAUGCAAGUCGAACGAGACCUUCGGGUCUAGUGGCGCACGGGUGCGUAACGCGUGGGAACCUGCCCUUAGGUUCGGUAUAACUCCCCGAAAGGGGUCCUAAUACCGGAUAAUGUCUUCGGACCAAAGAUUUAUCGCCUUUGGAUGGGCCCGCGUUGGAUUAGCUAGUUGGUAGGGUAAAAGCCUACCAACGCGACGAUCCAUAGCUGGUCUGAGAGGAUGAUCAGCAACACUGGGACUGCGACACGGCCCAGACUGCUACGGGAGGGAGCAGUGGGGAAUAUUGUACAAUGGGCGAAGGUGUGAUACAGCAACGCCGGGGGAGUGAUGAAGGCCUUAGGGUUGUAAAGCUCUUUUACCCGGGACGAUAAUGACAGUACCGGGAGAAUAAGCUCCGGCUAACUCCGUG